GCAAAAGCAGCAUGUGUAUUGAUUGAUUUAUGCUUUGGACCAUUAUCACCAUGGAUAUAUACAAUUACUGCAAAGGUUGAUCUUGCAAUUGAACUUCCGGAGGACCUCUUGGUGUUAUUCAAGUGGCUGAUCAAGAGUCUUUAGCUGUUUCUUCUGACUUUGUGAUAUGUUCUCAUGGGGCUUCUAGCACAUCCAGUAAUCUGGAUGAAGCAAAGAGAAAGAUUGAUGCAUCUAAAGCUGCCACAAGAAAAGAUGUACUCCAAGAUGCUAAUCUGUAGUUUGCUCCUAGAGAUCUGUCAAAAAUUGUUUUGACAAGUGUU